AGAUAAAAAACAAAGUAAGAUGCUACAAAAAUGGCAGAGGACUCAUCUCAGUCUGUUACCGGAAAGAGGGAGAAUGAUAUUUGUUCAGGAAAAGAGAAACUAAAAUUGGAUAACAGGGACUUGAAGGAAUAAUUAAGGAGACAAUAAGAGAGCACCCAGCUGGUCUGGAUGAAUUCUAGUUGACUGGUUUAAACUGUAAUCCUUCAAGGAAGUCUACUUUGUGAUCCAUAUGCCACUAACUAAACCUUGCAAGCUUCAAGACAGAAGACUCAUAGUUCCAGAUUCUCUUCAACUCCCUGAAGGAAGAGCAAGAAUCUGAGAAGAAACUAAGAUAUAAAGGAGCUUAAGCAAGCACCUCAAUUGGUUCCUAUUCCCAGAUCUCUAUUCUAGAGAC